CAACUUUCAGCAACGGAUCUCUUGGCUCUCGCAUCGAUGAAGAACGCAGCGAAAUGCGAUAAGUAAUGUGAAUUGCAGAAUUCAGUGAAUCAGCGAAUCUUUGAACGCACCUUGCGCCCUUUGGCGAAUCCGAAGGGCAUGCCUGUUUGAGUAUCAUGA
rnacentral:rRNA from 1 species